rnacentral:rRNA from 1 species
UUUCGCAAUGCCCGAAAGGGUGACGAAGCGACGCCGCGUGUGGGAAGAAGGCCUUCGGGUUGUAAACCACUGUCGGGAGUUAAGAAAUGCAAGGAUAUUAAUAGUGUCUUUGCUUGACUAAGGCUCCGGAGGAAGCCACGGCUAACUCUGUGCCAGCAGCCGCGGUAAUACAGAGGCGGCAAGCGUUGUUCGGAAUUAUUGGGCGUAAAGAGUACGUAGGCGGCUGUGCAAGUCGGUUGUGAAAGCCUUCCGCUUAACGGAAGAACAGCGACCGAUACUGCAUAGCUAGAGUGCGGGAGGGGAGAGUGGAACUUCUGGUGGAGCGGUGAAAUGCGUAGAUAUCAGAAGGAACGCCGGCGGCGAAAGCGGCUCUCUGGACCGUAACUGACGCUGAGUGUGCGAAAGCUAGGGGAGCAAACGGGAUUAGAUACCCCGGUAGUCCUAGCCGUAAACGAUGGGCACUAAGUAGAGGGGUUUU